GUGUAAGAGCUUGCUCUUUUGCUGACGAGUGGCGCACGGGUGCGUAACGCGUAUACAAUCUACCUUUUACAGGAGGAUAGCCUUUAGAAAUGAAGAUUAAUAUUCCAUAGUAAGUUGACUUGGCAUCAAGAUAACUUUAAAGUUUCGGCGGUAAAAGAUGAGUAUGCGUUCUAUUAGCUAGAUGGUGUGGUAACGGCACACCAUGGCGACGAUAGAUAGGGGCCCUGAGAGGGGGAUCCCCCACACUGGUACUGAGACACGGACCAGACUCCUACGGGAGGCAGCAGUGAGGAAUAUUGGACAAUGGGCGAGAGCCUGAUCCAGCCAUGCCGCGUGCAGGAAGACUGCCCUAUGGGUUGUAAACUGCUUUUAUACGGGAAGAAACCUAGUCACGUGUGAC
rnacentral:rRNA from 1 species